rnacentral:lncRNA from 1 species
AUUAUUCAACAUAUUAACACACACAAAUGGGAGGUGCAAGUGGUUAAUGGGCCUAAAACACCUAGUGAAACCCAAUACUUAUAUUUAAUCUUAUUUUCUAACAAUAAUAACAUAAAACUAUAUAAGUAGACAAUAAUAAUAAAUAAAAAUGGAUUUUGGUCAACCUUCCAAAAUCAGUUUCUUCGACCCUCAUCAUAAUUCAAU